rnacentral:rRNA from 1 species
UAGGGAAUAUUAGAAAUGGACGAAAGUCUGAUCUAGCAACACCGCGUGUGCGAAGAAGGCCUUCGGGUUGUAAAGCACUUUUUUGAAGGAAUAGGAAGUAAUGUACUUCCAGAAUAAGUCUCGGCUAACCACGUGCCAGCAGCCGCGGUAACACGUAGGAGGCAAACGUUAUCCGGAUUUACUGGGCGUAAAGCGCGUGUAGGUGGUACUGUAAGUAGGGCGUGAAAGCUCCUGGCUCAACUGGGAGAGGCCGUUCUAAACUACAGAACUAGAGGAUGGUAGAGGGAGGUGGAAGGCCAGGUGUAGCGGUGGAAUGCGCAGAUAUCUGGAGGAACACCGGUGGCGAAGGCGGCCUCCUGGACCAUUCCUGACACUCAGACGCGAAAGCUAGGGUAGCAAACG